AGACCCGAAACCCGGUGAUCUAGCCAUGGGCAGGUUGAAGGUUGGGUAACACUAACUGGAGGACCGAACCGACUAAUGUUGAAAAAUUAGCGGAUGACCUGUGGCUGGGGGUGAAAGGCCAAUCAAACCGGGAGAUAGCUGGUUCUCCCCGAAAGCUAUUUAGGUAGCGCCUCGUGAAUUCAUCUCCGGGGGUAGAGCACUGUUUCGGCUAGGGGGCCAUCCCGGCUUACCAACCCGAUGCAAACUGCGAAUACCGGAGAAUGUUAUCACGGGAGACACACGGCGGGUGCUAACGUCCGUCGUGAAGAGGGAAACAACCCAGACCGCCAGCUAAGGUCCCAAAGUCAUGGUUAAGUGGGAAACGAUGUGGGAAGGCCCAGACAGCCAGGAUGUUGGCUUAGAAGCAGCCAUCAUUUAAAGAAAGCGUAAUAGCUCACUGGUCGAGUCGGCCUGCGCGGAAGAUGUAACGGGGCUAAACCAUGCACCGAAGCUGCGGCAGCGAACGUAUCACCCAAGACAACUUUACGGAGUUGACGAUUGACGGAGCGAAGCGACGUCAAAGCGUUCAUUAAAGUCGAGUUGGCUUAGGGAUACGUUCGUUGGGUAGGGGAGCGUUCUGUAAGCCAGUGAAGGUGUGUCGUGAGGCAUGCUGGAGGUAUCAGAAGUGCGAAUGCUGACAUAAGUAACGAUAAAGCGGGUGAAAAGCCCGCUCGCCGGAAGACCAAGGGUUCCUGUCCAACGUUAAUCGGGGCAGGGUGAGUCGACCCCUAAGGCGAGGCCGAAAGGCGUAGUCGAUGGGAAACGGGUUAAUAUUCCCGUACUUGGUGUUACUGCGAAGGGGGGACGGAGAAGGCUAUGUUGGCCGGGCGACGGUUGUCCCGGUUUAAGCGUGUAGGUGUGUGUUCCAGGUAAAUCCGGUUCACUUUAACACUGAGGCGUGAUGACGAGGCACUACGGUGCUGAAGCAACAAAUGCCCUGCUUCCAGGAAAAGCCUCUAAGCAUCAGGUAACAUCAAAUCGUACCCCAAACCGACACAGGUGGUCAGGUAGAGAAUACCAAGGCGCUUGAGAGAACUCGGGUGAAGGAACUAGGCAAAAUGGUGCCGUAACUUCGGGAGAAGGCACGCUGACACGUAGGUGAAGUGAUUUACUCAUGGAGCUGAAAUCAGUCGAAGAUACCAGCUGGCUGCAACUGUUUAUUAAAAACACAGCACUGUGCAAACACGAAAGUGGACGUAUACGGUGUGACGCCUGCCCGGUGCCGGAAGGUUAAUUGAUGGGGUCAGCGCAAGCGAAGCUCCUGAUCGAAGCCCCGGUAAACGGCGGCCGUAACUAUAACGGUCCUAAGGUAGCGAAAUUCCUUGUCGGGUAAGUUCCGACCUGCACGAAUGGCGUAAUGAUGGCCAGGCUGUCUCCACCCGAGACUCAGUGAAAUUGAACUCGCUGUGAAGAUGCAGUGUACCCGCGGCAAGACGGAAAGACCCCGUGAACCUUUACUAUAGCUUGACACUGAACAUUGAGCCUUGAUGUGUAGGAUAGGUGGGAGGCUUUGAAGCGUGGACGCCAGUCUGCGUGGAGCCGACCUUGAAAUACCACCCUUUAAUGUUUGAUGUUCUAACGUGGACCCGUGAUCCGGGUUGCGGACAGUGUCUGGUGGGUAGUUUGACUGGGGCGGUCUCCUCCUAAAGAGUAACGGAGGAGCACGAAGGUUGGCUAAUCCUGGUCGGACAUCAGGAGGUUAGUGCAAUGGCAUAAGCCAGCUUGACUGCGAGCGUGACGGCGCGAGCAGGUGCGAAAGCAGGUCAUAGUGAUCCGGUGGUUCUGAAUGGAAGGGCCAUCGCUCAACGGAUAAAAGGUACUCCGGGGAUAACAGGCUGAUACCGCCCAAGAGUUCAUAUCGACGGCGGUGUUUGGCACCUCGAUGUCGGCUCAUCACAUCCUGGGGCUGAAGUAGGUCCCAAGGGUAUGGCUGUUCGCCAUUUAAAGUGGUACGCGAGCUGGGUUUAGAACGUCGUGAGACAGUUCGGUCCCUAUCUGCCGUGGGCGCUGGAGAACUGAGGGGGGCUGCUCCUAGUACGAGAGGACCGGAGUGGACGCAUCACUGGUGUUCGGGUUGUCAUGCCAAUGGCACUGCCCGGUAGCUAAAUGCGGAAGAGAUAAGUGCUGAAAGCAUCUAAGCACGAAACUUGCCCCGA
rnacentral:rRNA from 1 species